ACCUGGUUGAUCCUGCAGUAGUCAUAU
rnacentral:rRNA from 1 species